CGGCGAAACUGACGUACAAGGAGUCAUUUAGUCGUCUUAUUUCGUACCGAUAACAUGGAUCGUGUUGCGUCAGGUUUGCAACAUAUUGUAACGUAUUGGCGGCGUCGGUCUUUUAUUACUCUAAUAAUUUAAUCCAAUUAAAUAAUCACACGCGAAAAUAAUAAAAUUUUAUCACAUAAUUUUGUACGCGACGUUAGAGUUCUUGUUCGCCGAUUAUAAUUUUAACGCUCACGGUAAUGUGAUCCUAUUUCAUAUUCUUUUGAAUAUUCUUUUUCGGUAUUAGAGUCAGUGCAUCUCUCAAGAGGACAAAGCUUCUGCAGGAGCUCAAGAAUACAUAUCACUACUUCAACUUCGUCAUCUUCUUCAGGAGUGUUCUAACAGUGGCACAAAAGCCAAGUAUAUUUUUCGCAGUUUGCAUUUCUACUAUUAGCCUUUCGACGGUUCCUGUCUGAUGUUAGUCUCCCGGAUGAAAUUCGCUGGGAUAGCACAGCAUCCACGGUAACGUUCUCUGUUUGUCUGCUUCGAACGGUGAGUCGCAUGCAUUUCUGUUCUUCUGGUCAC